CAGGUCUGUCUGCGCUCCCAUUAUCUAUCGCCUUUACUUGACCUGAUCUCACCCGUAAACUUUCAUGGUGGCACUACCUGCUUCUCUCCAUGGAGACAGAAAAGUAUAAUGCUAAACUGUGGAACAUUCAGGCAAAGCAAUAACAUAUUCAUCAUGGAGACAAUAAGGUCAAAGGCUCAAGUGUCCUUUUGGCAUGUCCACAGGAAAUGAGUGUGCAGAGACAUGAGCGUGACUGAGCGUGUCUACAUGGAUUGUUAUUGAACUGAAUUCAGCCUUGCCUUUACUUGAUUUUCAC